GGUGAGCAUCUGACAGCCUGGAGCAGCACCCCACACCCCCAGGGGAGCAUCCGACAGCUUGGAGCAGCACCCCACACCCCCAGGGGAGCAUCUGACAGCUGGGAGCAGCACCCCACACCCCCAGGGGAGCAUCCGACAGCGUGGACAAGUCCUGCCUCCAGGGUGAAGAGGCAGAGGGCAUGGGGGAGGCGCAGCAUCGGCCCACCUCCUGGAUGCGCAAGUUCACAGGCAUGAUGGGGCGAGGGGCUCCUGCUCCUACCAUCACUCCCACACGCUAGCCCUCCGACAUCCUGGCUGACUUUCCCUGCCUCUGGCCCUGUGGCCCUGGACAGAGCGGGAGGAAGGGACAGGAUCCCAUGGUACCCCUUGGAGGAGGUUCCAGCACCUACCUGUAGGCUGGAGGAACCACUGUUCAGCCGCAUCUCUCCCGCCCCACCUGCAUUCACUCAAGGUUGAUGGGAGCACUGUGGGGGGAGACAGGCAGGGGAGGGGCCAGGCAGCACCUGGCACAUCCCCAGGGUGCCUCCUCUGAUCCCCAGGAGGGGCAGCACCCACCCUCCUCUUUUUCCAAUUUGUUUUUAUUGUGGUUAAAUAUACAUAACAUUAACUUUUACUCUCUUAAUUAUCUUUAUGUGUACAGUGUGGUGGCAUUAAAUACAUUCCUCAUGUU